AUCUAUCUGGCUCUCUUGGUAGAGCGUGUGACUCUUGAUCUCAGGGCCAUGAGUUCAAGCCCCAUGUUGGGUG
rnacentral:tRNA from 1 species